GACAGUCACAGUUCGGAUUGAAGGCUGAAAUUCGCCUUCAUGAAGCCGGAAUUGCUAGUAAUGGCAGGUCAGCAUACUGCCGUGAAUACGUUCCCGGGCCUUGUACACACCGCCCGUCACACCAUGAGAGUUGGGAAUACCCGAAGCCUGUGAGCUAACUUUUAGAGGCAGCAGUCGAAGGUAGAAUCAAUGAUUGGGGUGAAGUCGUAACAAGGUACC
rnacentral:rRNA from 1 species